GAGUAAUGUCUGGGAAACUGCCUGAUGGAGGGGGAUAACUACUGGAAACGGUAGCUAAUACCGCAUAACGUCGCAAGACCAAAGAGGGGGACCUUCGGGCCUCUUGCCAUCGGAUGUGCCCAGAUGGGAUUAGCUAGUAGGUGGGGUAACGGCUCACCUAGGCGACGAUCCCUAGCUGGUCUGAGAGGAUGACCAGCCACACUGGAACUGAGACACGGUCCAGACUCCUACGGGAGGCAGCAGUGGGGAAUAUUGCACAAUGGGCGCAAGCCUGAUGCAGCCAUGCCGCGUGUAUGAAGAAGGCCUUCGGGUUGUAAAGUACUUUCAGCGGGGAGGAAGGGAGUAAAGUUAAUACCUUUGCUCAUUGACGUUACCCGCAGAAGAAGCACCGGCUAACUCCGUGCCAGCAGCCGCGGUAAUACGGAGGGUGCAAGCGUUAAUCGGAAUUACUGGGCGUAAAGCGCACGCAGGCGGUUUGUUAAGUCAGAUGUGAAAUCCCCGGGCUCAACCUGG
rnacentral:rRNA from 2 species